CGCGUAGGUGGUAGUGCAAGUCUGAGGUGGAAUCUUAGGGCUUAACCCUAAAAUUGCCUUGGAAACUGUAUUACUUGAGUCAGUGAGGGGAGGGUAGAAUUCCUGGUGUAGCGGUGAAAUGCGUAGAUAUCAGGAGGAAGGCCGGUGGCGAAGGCGGCCCUCUGGCGCUGAACUGACACUGAGGCGCGAAAGCGUGGGGAGCAAACAGGAUUAGAUACCCUGGUAGUCCACGCCCUAAACGGUGGGUACUAGGUGUAGGGCUCGUAAGGGUUCUGUGCCGAAGCGAAAGCAUUAAGUACCCCGCCUGGGGAGUACGGCCGCAAGGUUGAA
rnacentral:rRNA from 1 species